AAGGCACGUAUGCCAACUGAUCCAUCUACACAACACGGUGGGUAAAAUUAUUGGCAACACGAAGCGGAAAGCCGCCAAAACAAUUUGUUUUUUGCUUGGUGAUGACGAUGCUGAUGGAAAUCUCCCUGAUUUUCCCUCUUCAUUCAUUUCAUUUCAUCUCUAUCUUCCCCUAACUCGCAACUAUUCUCUCUUCCUUUCUGCUUCUCUGUGCGUGUCUCAGAGAGAGAUAGACAGACAGGCAUACAUUCAAUCAAGAAAGAAGAAAGAUAAUGGCGGGUGUUGGAGUAGACGGGAGGAAGAGAGUUGAAGCUUCGUCGGAGGCCCAGAUCAACAUUUUUUCCUUCCCGCCAAAGAUUCCAGUGCUUUUGCCAGAUGGAAUGAUUCUUUGUGCGAUAUAUCUGCUGAAGGCAUAGCUUUUUUUUAUAUUUUCCAGCGAUAACUUUAGGGAGGUCUAUACGGAAGCUCAUUCUGGUUCAAAGGAUUUAAAACGGUUGCAAUUGAUGGUGUUGAGAAGUGGAAAUCCUUGACUGACGAGGUGAGUUUUCAAUUAUUUUGGUUCCUUCAAAGUUGAAUGCCAAAUUCUAUGAAAACAAGGUUUACCAGAAUAAAGCUUCCGAGCUUAAGGCCGAGUAUGACCGGGGCCUCUUGGAGAGUUACGAUGCUGAAGAUGAAGAUGUAGGCCAUCAGUUUUAGAUAUCGCAAAGUUAAUACUUUUGAUUCUGAGCUCGUUUUACUUGAACUAUGAUAUUUUUUUCCUAGUGUGUAGUUUCUGGUUUUGGUCAUUUAGGCUAUUUAUAUUGGUUUCAUUCUGAAUAAGCGGCUUCCUUUUCUUACCUUCGGAGGCUGAUGAGGUUCUGAGAAGGAGCAUCUGAUGGAGAGCAGGACAGAUUGCAUGUUGAAUUUUCAUGUCUGCUGAUUAGUUCUUGUCUCCUGUAAAUUUGGAUUUGGUUUAGUCUAGUAGUUUCGAGAGUAGAUAUUAAGCCUUAAGGGUUUUCUUAAGGGUUAUAUUUUUGGUUGGUUUGGGGUAUCAUAUGACAUAUGUAUUUCAUCUUAGAAUGUUACACUUGUUGGUAAACUCAUUUCCUUCAUAUAUUGUAUUAUGGU